rnacentral:rRNA from 1 species
AGAGAUGUGUGAUGACGCAUAUCAAUAAGCGGAGGAAAAGAAACUAACAAGGAUUCCCUUAGUAACGGCGAGUGAAGCGGGAAGAGCUCAAAUUUGAAAUCUUCAAGGGUUCUACCUUGACGAAUUGUAGUUUAAUAGAAGUGUUUUCUGUUAGUGGAGUGGCAAAAGUUCUUUGGAAUAGGACAUCAUAGAGGGUGAGAAUCCCGUAUUUGGUCAUUCCUCCUAGCUUUGUGAUACACUUUCAACGAGUCGGAUUGUUUGGGAAUGCAGUCCAAAAUGGGUGGUAAAUUUCAUCUAAAGCUAAAUAUUGGCGAGAGACCGAUAGCGAACAAGUACCGUGAGGGAAAGAUGAAAAGAACUUUGAAAAGAGAGUUAAACAGUACGUGAAAUUGUCAAAAGGGAAGCGUUUGACACCAGUGUUGUUUUUCCGAAAAUCAAUUACGAAUGUUUUAUUUUUGAGGAGUUAUGACUUCAUCGGCUUGCUCCUUUCUUUAUGAAACUUUCUUAAUGCACUUUUCGGUUAACAAGUCAACAUCAAUUUCUUUUGUUGUAAAAGGGUAUGAGGAAGGUCGGCUUUCCUUUUCGGAGAAAGUGUUUAUAGCCUUGUACCUCUGCAAUCGGAGAGAUUGAGGUCUGCAGCGUAGAUCCUUCGGGGUUAGAUACAUUUGUGCUAAGUUAUAGCUUUUCAUAGACAACUUGUUGACUAUGAUUUAGUCAUUGUAGCUUACUCGCUUACUGCUAUUUUACCUACGCUUAGGAUGUUGACGAUCAGCUGAGCGCG